GAUGAAGAACGCAGCGAAAUGCGAUACGUAAUGUGAAUUGCAGAAUUCAGUGAAUCAUCGAGUCUUUGAACGCACAUUGCGCCCCCUGGUAUUCCGGGGGGCAUGCCUGUCCGAGCGUCAUUGCUGCCCUCAAGCACGGCUUGUGUGUUGGGCCUCCGUCCUCCUCCCGGGGGACGGGCCCGAAAGGCCGCGGCGGCACCGCGUCCGGUCCUCGAGCGUAUGGGGCUUCGUCACCCGCUCUUGUAGGCCCGGCCGGCGCUUGCCGACACAUCAAUCUUUUUUCCAGGUUGACCUCGGAUCAGGUAGGGAUACCCGCUGAACUUAAGCAUAUCAAUAAGCGGAGGA
rnacentral:misc_RNA from 1 species